CUGCAGUGAUAAGAUCUGUUCAUUCUGAUCUGGUAUUCCUCUGGAGAGAACUCUGACCAAGGAAUGAUUCCACUCCAAUCUUCUCUCUGAGCAA